rnacentral:rRNA from 1 species
CGGCGUGCUAAUACAUGCAAGUCGAGCGGACAGAUGGGAGCUUGCUCCCUGAUGUUAGCGGCGGACGGGUGAGUAACACGUGGGUAACCUGCCUGUAAGACUGGGAUAACUCCGGGAAACCGGGGCUAAUACCGGAUGGUUGUUUGAACCGCAUGGUUCAGACAUAAAAGGUGGCUUCGGCUACCACUUACAGAUGGACCCGCGGCGCAUUAGCUAGUUGGUGAGGUAACGGCUCACCAAGGCGACGAUGCGUAGCCGACCUGAGAGGGUGAUCGGCCACACUGGGACUGAGACACGGCCCAGACUCCUACGGGAGGCAGCAGUAGGGAAUCUUCCGCAAUGGACGAAAGUCUGACGGAGCAACGCCGCGUGAGUGAUGAAGGUUUUCGGAUCGUAAAGCUCUGUUGUUAGGGAAGAACAAGUGCCGUUCAAAUAGGGCGGCACCUUGACGGUACCUAACCAGAAAGCCACGGCUAACUACGUGCCAGCAGCCGCGGUAAUACGUAGGUGGCAAGCGUUGUCCGGAAUUAUUGGGCGUAAAGGGCUCGCAGGCGGUUUCUUAAGUCUGAUGUGAAAGCCCCCGGCUCAACCGGGGAGGGUCAUUGGAAACUGGGGAACUUGAGUGCAGAAGAGGAGAGUGGAAUUCCACGUGUAGCGGUGAAAUGCGUAGAGAUGUGGAGGAACACCAGUGGCGAAGGCGACUCUCUGGUCUGUAACUGACGCUGAGGAGCGAAAGCGUGGGGAGCGAACAGGAUUAGAUACCCUGGUAGUCCACGCCGUAAACGAUGAGUGCUAAGUGUUAGGGGGUUUCCGCCCCUUAGUGCUGCAGCUAACGCAUUAAGCACUCCGCCUGGGGAGUACGGUCGCAAGACUGAAACUCAAAGGAAUUGACGGGGGCCCGCACAAGCGGUGGAGCAUGUGGU